GUUACACUGGAAAUUACCAUCUGUUGGCUGGAAAUAAACAAAAUUCUCACUCAAUUCUUUUCACUGGCACUUCUAUUGAUGGACAAUAACUUGCUGAACAUCCUUUUGGGUCGUGUAAAACGAUCUGCAAUCAAAUGGAUUUGGAAGUUCUACCAAGUCCAUUUGAUUGCAGAUCGUUUUCAUCCAAAUCAUCAUCUUCAGCUAAUUUCAUCCUUAAACUAGAAAGCUUCGACUUGGGUGAUUUAAGGCCUGAGACACUCCAUUGAUCCUCUGCAGGAAAGCUAGUAGUGGUGCUUAAUGCUGCUGUAGGCCUUGAUGGAUCUAUUUUAUGGGAAGCUAGAAGUGCCUUGAUGUUGCUAGGCAGCUCAGUGACUUUGUCUCCAGCCAUAGCUGCUCUAGCUUGCUCAAAGAAGAGAACUUGCACUACCACCCUCAGUGGGAGUAGCUCAUUCUGUGCAGCAUGCAUACAGGCUUCAACAGAGAGUUUCUUGCAGUCUAGGGUUUGACAUAACCGUUUUCUUUCACUCUUGUUUAGGGCUGGAUGUGCCUUGAGAUAAAUGUCAAUAGCUCUGUAGAGAUCAUCAUGAUCAAGCCUUGCGAAAUCUGGUAUGGACUCAGCAAGGGCAAUAAACUUUGAAAGAGGCAAAUUAACAUCUCUGGCAAUCUCUUGAAGAUAGCCAUCUACAACCUUUGCUACCUUCAAUUUUGAGCUAUGUGAUGCAG
rnacentral:misc_RNA from 1 species